GUUAAUUCAUGUACUGUCCUAUAAAUUUCCAAGGAACCGAGUAUUCCUUUCUCAAAGGUUCAGUUCAGAAAAAGAAAAAGAGGGUUUUCUUUGACGAGAGAAAGUCGUAGCUUAGAAUGGGACCUGGAGGUCCGGCCCAGGAGGCCCUCCUGGUUGGGGUCCACCAGGCCCAGGAUUUUUCGGUGGUUUUUGCGAUAUCCCUAGCACUUUGUAUUUGCCUCAACUUUUUGUGCUGCUGCUGGUUACUACAAGAUUGCUUUGGGGGAACCUGGUCCUCCUGGGGGCCCAUCCGGCCCACCUGGGCCUCCAUGAGUUCCUAAAUCACCAUUGUUUGGAAUGUUUAUAUUCUAUGAUUACCUCGUACCCUGAUUGGAUUGAGUUUGCUUUGUGAGUUCCAAAAGAAGAAGAAAAAAGAUUUACUUCACGCUAUGUUAUGUAAUUAUCAGUCAGAGAUCUGCUCUAUGAAUACAUUUCUGUUUGAUGAAUGCGUUUUCCUUAUCAACUUGCAAAGCAAAUAUACCACGAUCCUUGCAACUUUUGUUUAACUUUUGGACUCAUGUUUGUCACCAUUACCUAAGUAAGCAUUUGAACCUCAGAUGA